CAGCUUAGUAUAAGAGUGGUACAGGUGACAAUCGCAUUCCUGACCAAAAUCAGGUACCAGUCCCUGUACCAUAAAUUGUUACAGGUCCUUCUUUUCCUUCAAUAGAGGCAAAAGGAAAAUGGAUAAAUUGCACAGACUUGUAUCCCUUCUUCUGAAUUGAAAACAAAUCACUUUUCAGUGAAACUCCAAAGGUAGUGAGGAUCUGCACAAGACAAGGAACAGUAUCUUCAGUAAUUUCUGGGGAACUGCAUGGAGCAUGGAGGCUGGAUGCUGUUACUUCUGGUGCAUGUCCUCCCUACUGCUUUGUGCAGAGGGCAGAACUACAUUUGCAGCCCAGUAUCUCAUUUUUAUUCUACGUGGUUCUAAGUGUAUAUAUAGGUGCAUCUCUACACAAAAGAAGGCAAUGCUAAUGAAAGACGUACAAUGGGAAGAGGUACAGCUUUUAAGGCUGUAGUUUCCCCUGAGCAGCAUCCAAGAAAGUUGUCUACUGCACACAUGAGCUUUGAUAGAAAGGCCCGUUGUGCCUGAGGAACAGAGCUGUCAAAAGGGGUUUCCAUCUCUAUGCCAAGAUGCUUGUUACCCUUCUCCUGUCAGAGCCCAGCAGUUGGUAGUUUUCCAUCUCUAGAAAUCCAGGGGAACUCUCCACCUUGGGGAACAAGAAACUGGAGAAAAGUCAAUAGACCAGACAAGGUUCGUACCACAUUUAUUCAAGGAAAGAAAUAAAAAGAGUACCAUAAUUACAUUUUAACUACAUUUUACUCUCAGCAGCAUCCCAUAAAUCAUGUACCUUGUUAGUGCUGUGGCAUAGCAUAUGAUGCUGGAAGUCAGCACACAGUAAAUACGUUGACAGUAAGUGCAGUAAAUACUGUUCACUAGUUGGCUUUGGCCAUCUUGGGCAGUGUGUCUUGCUGAAGUCAUGGCAGGUGAUGGAUUUUUGCCCCCUUGGUCUGUUUUGUCUAUUUUUGGUGAAGAGAAGGUGAGCAGGCAUUCUGCAAUCUCUGACACCAAGCUGGAAUAUGGCACAACUGAGGACACAAGGAUGUACGAGCAAUGUCACCUCUUAUCUGCAGUGGCAAAUGACAAAUUUGUGUCCUGUAUGAGACAAUGAGAACUCAUUAAGAGAAAAGAUGCAAACCACAAGGAAAAAUCCUGUAGGUGGGAGAUGAGAGGGCAGACGAUAUGCACUGGGUGGCAAUCCAUUUGAACAGCAUCGAAAGAUGAUGUGAGAAAGCCCUUCAAUGCAAUGCUGCAAGCGAAAAAUGCCACAUCUACAUUUGUAAACACCUUCAGCAGACAAAUACAGCCAAUGCAUUGAGCUAAGUAGGCUCCAGCAAGUGAGCUGUAACAGUCUGCAUUGUUUCUGUGCUUGGGGAGGGGGGACGUGAGUGGAUUCAGAGCUGCAUGGUUGCCCUAUACUGUAAUGUACCCUACCCAGUACUGUAGCCUUUUGUGUAAAAGGAUGAGCUAACCAGUUGUUUUGCAAAGGGGGGGCCCGUUUGCACCACAGCAGCAAGUCAGAGCAGCUCCCAGGCAGCCAUGGUGGCAGUGGGCUGAGGGUGCAUUGAUGGAGGGAUGCUGUAACAGAUAGCCCCUGCUUCUGAGCUUUCAGCCUCAACCCUAUCACAUGCACACAUCUUACAGAAACUUGAAAAGCUUGACACAGAGAGAGGCAAGGGAGUGAGGCAGCACUCUCUGAGCAUGGCAUGAUGCAUUGCUGCUUGUUCCAGGGAAGGGUAUGGCUGCUCUGCACGGCUGUCACCAAGAUCCUGUUCUUUAUUGAAAAGAGCAACCCUGAGGUCUGGAAAAAAACCCAUCUCUGAUGCACCCCUUCAUUUUCCAAAAAGCAGGAUCCUGGUGACUUGGCGGAGUGGCUAAGUUCUAAUUGAGAAGAGGCUACCAAAAACUCACAGGCAAAACCAAUUGUUGAGAUAAACAUGGGGAAAACCCCACAAAACCAAAACAAAGCACAAUUGCUUCAAGCCUCCCAAAUUUCUAUUUAAUUCAGAAAACAAAUUAACUCUAACCUCCUAUCUGCAGUGCCUCUGCAGGGAAACCACAGUGGGAGGAGUCCCAGUUUACACACAAUCUGGAGAGAGGGAGGAAAUCCAAGGACUAAACGGGAGGAGAAGAAAACAUGCUUGGACAAUGUGCUGCACACUGGUGGGACUGUCCCUGACACCAUAGUGAUGGACGUGAUCUAGUAACAGAGACAGAUGACCCAGUAGCUGAAUGACUGAUCAUCUCCCUUGGAACACA